CUGGCCGUAAACGAUGAACACUAGAUGUUGGGGGAAUCGACCCCUCCGGUGUCGUAGCUAACGCGUUAAGUGUUCCGCCUGGGGAGUACGCACGCAAGUGUGAAACUCAAAGGAAUUGACGGGGGCCCGCACAAGCGGUGGAGUAUGUGGUUUAAUUCGAUGCAACGCGAAGAACCUUACCAAGGCUUGACAUCCUGCGAAUCUCCAAGAAAUUGGAGAGUGCCUUCGGGAACGCAGUGACGGGUGGUGCAUGGCUGUCGUCAGUUCGUGUCGUGAGAUGUUGGGUUAAGUCCCGCAACGAGCGCAACCCACGUUUUUAGUUGCCAGCAUUCAGUUGGGCACUCUAGAAAGACUGCCGGUGACAAACCGGAGGAAGGUGUGGACGACGUCAAGUCAUCAUGCCCCUUACGCCUUGGGCUACACACGUACUACAAUGCUGCGGACAAAGAGUAGCGAUCUUGCGAAAGUUAGCUAAUCUCGUAAACCGUGGCUCAGUUCAGAUCGUAGGCUGCAACUCGCCUACGUGAAGGAGGAAUCGCUAGUAAUCGCAGGUCAGCAUACUGCGGUGAAUACGAUUCCCGGGCCUUGUACACACCGCCCGUCACACCAUGGAAGUUGGCCAUGCCCGAAGUCGUUACUCUAACCUUUUGGAAGAGGGCGCCGAAGGCAGGGCUAAUGACUGGGGUGAAGUCGUAACAAGGUAGCCGUAGCGGAAGCUGCGGCUGGAUCACCUCCUAA
rnacentral:rRNA from 1 species